rnacentral:rRNA from 1 species
ACGUAGGGUGCAAGCGUUAAUCGGAAUUACUGGGCGUAAAGCGAGCGCAGGCGGUUUGAAAAGUAAGCUGUGAAAGACACGGGCACAAACUGGGAAAUGCGGUUGAAACUUUCAAGCUAGAGUGCGUCAGAGGGGGGUGGAAUUCCAAGUGUAGGAGUGAAAUGCGUAUAGAUGUGGAGGAACACCUAUGGCGAAGGCAGUCCCCUGGAGUGACAUUGACACUCAUGCUCGAAGGCGUGGGAAGCAAACAG